rnacentral:rRNA from 1 species
GGGCAAGUGAAAAAUUGUUAUGUUAGUGAUUAAAUGAUAUUAAUUACCACUUAAGUGUAUUUUAAUACAAAGGUGAAAUUGAGUAGUUAAUAGUACAGAAGAGUGAAAAAAUGAGUUAAGUUUUUGAGGUUAUUAAAUAUAAGAUAUGAAGCAGGAUUAGAUACCCUGGUACACUUAUUAUAAAAGGUAAAAUAUUUGAGUAGUAAAUAGAUAUGUGCUUGAAAUUUAAAGAAUUUGGCGGUAUUUGAGUCUGGUUAGAGGAACUUGUGUAGUAAAUGAUAAACCCCGAAUAUCUAACUUUAUUUUGUACGUCAGUUUGUAUACCGCCAUUAUUAGAUAAUUUUUAUAGAAGAUGUCUAAAUAGUUUAAUAACUUGGAUAUUAGGUAAAGGUGCAGCUUAUAAUAAAGAUAAGCAUGAGUUACAUUUUUUCUAAAAUAUACGAAUUCUAUUUUGAAAAAAAUAGUUGAAGGUGGAUUUAAUUGUAAAGUUUGUUUAGUAAGUGUUCUUGAAUUUUUAAGCCUUCAGAUAUGUACACAUCGCCCGUCAAUCUCAUCUU